UAAUAGUCAAUAUAUCGGCAAAAAGAUGCGCGGACUGAAAUAAAAGUAAAAAAAUGACUCCAAAAUUUCACUUUCAUCCCAAAAUCCCUAAAAUUCAAGGCAACUUUCUCAGAUCUCAAAAGCUACGGGGCUUCAUCUCCACAACUCAGGAGGUUGCAAUUUCCUCACUCAGAACUCUACUAUUGAGAUUAUCUGCUUAAUCAAUAGUGAUCAACAUUUUGAUAGCAUGGAGACAUUUGGAGUCGUUUUUGGAGCAAAAAAUUAUUGGGAAAUGGACUUGGAGCAUGCGUGUUCGGCUUCGAGCAGGGUUUAUGACUCGAGUUCCAUCAAAAGAUAAUCAAGACGUUGAAUCUUGUUGGUUAUACAAGGGUUUAGGUCGUAAAUCUAAGUCUAAGGGCGUAUUUUCUAUUUCUUGUAUUUUGGCUAUGCUAGACAUUUGUAUUUGACUGACUUCUUCAAAUAAAUAGGGAUAAUCUAUUGUAUCUUUUAUAGCAAAGCAAUCUGAAUGAUGAGUAUUUGAAAUUGCAUAUGAAAUAACAUAAGUUAUCGAAUAUGACCUAUUA